AACGAACGCUGGCGGCAUGCCUAACACAUGCAAGUCGAACGAGACCUUCGGGUCUAGUGGCGCACGGGUGCGUAACGCGUGGGAACCUGCCCUUAGGUUCGGAAUAACUCCCCGAAAGGGGUGCUAAUACCGGAUAAUGUCUUCGGACCAAAGAUUUAUCGCCUUUGGAUGGGCACGCGUUGGAUUAGCUAGUUGGUAGGGUAAAAGCCUACCAAGGCGACGAUCCAUAGCUGGUCUGAGAGGAUGAUCAGCCACACUGGGACUGGGACACGGCCCAGACUCCUACGGGAGGCAGCAGUGGGGAAUAUUGGACAAUGGGCGAAAGCCUGAUCCAGCAAUGCCGCGUGAGUGAUGAAGGCCUGAGGGUUGUAAAGCUCUUUUACCCGGGAUGAUAAUGACAGUACCGGGAGAAUAAGCUCCGGCUAACUCCGUG
rnacentral:rRNA from 1 species